rnacentral:rRNA from 1 species
CCGCAUGAUGCCUACGGGCCAAAGAGGGGGACCUUCGGGCCUCUCGCGUCAGGAUAUGCCUAGGUGGGAUUAGCUAGUUGGUGAGGUAAGGGCUCACCAAGGCGACGAUCCCUAGCUGGUCUGAGAGGAUGAUCAGCCACACUGGAACUGAGACACGGUCCAGACUCCUACGGGAGGCAGCAGUGGGGAAUAUUGCACAAUGGGCGCAAGCCUGAUGCAGCCAUGCCGCGUGUAUGAAGAAGGCCUUCGGGUUGUAAAGUACUUUCAGUCGUGAGGAAGGCGGCGUCGUUAAUAGCGGCGUUGUUUGACGUUAGCGACAGAAGAAGCACCGGCUAACUCCGUGCCAGCAGCCGCGGUAAUACGGAGGGUGCGAGCGUUAAUCGGAAUUACUGGGCGUAAAGCGCAUGCAGGUGGUUUGUUAAGUCAGAUGUGAAAGCCCGGGGCUCAACCUCGGAAUAGCAUUUGAAACUGGCAGACUAG